UCUCUAUGCGGUGUCUGCAGCCGCGGUAAUACGUAGGGUGCAAGCGUUAAUCGGAAUUACUGGGCGUAAAGCGUGCGCAGGCGGUUCGGAAAGAAAGAUGUGAAAUCCCAGGGCUCAACCUUGGAACUGCAUUUUUAACUCCCGAACUAGAGUAUGUCAGAGGGGGUGGAAUUCCACGUGUAGCAGUGAAAUGCGUAGAUAUGUGGAGGAACACCGAUGGCGAAGGCAGCCCCCUGGGAUAAUACUGACGCUCAUGCACGAAAGCGUGGGGAGCAAACAGGAUUAGAUACCCUGGUAGUCCACGCCCUAAACGAUGUCAACUAGCUGUCGGGGUCUUUCGGACUUUGGUAGCGCAGCUAACGCGUGAAGUUGACCGCCUGGGGAGUACGGUCGCAAGGCU
rnacentral:rRNA from 1 species